GGAGGAGAGUGACACGUAAACAAGUAAUUACAAUACCCCUAUUUAUUAGGCGGGUGUGCGCCCAGGACUCCAUCCAGAACAGUGCUUCCAGCGUGGUUCAAGGAGCCAGUCCUGCCCUGGCAGUGGCUGCCUGCUUCUCGGGCCUCACCCUGCUGGCCUCGGCAGCCAGAGUUGGCAGGCCAGAAGAGGAAUGUCCUACGUGAACGUGAUUUAACAGCUCCAUCGCCUGGGGCCACGUGGAAUUCUUGAAGCAGCUGUGUCAGACAUCCGAGUCAAGUUGGGGCAUGAGUGACCUCUCAACAUCUAAUGGAGCAUUUACUCCUUUGGACCAGAGGAGAAGAUAUGGAUGAACUCCUUGGACCCACCCUGUUCCCAGCUCAUCUGGGAGAAUGAAGCUAAUUGGUAAAUCCACUGUUUGAUGCUUGUAAUGAAGACUCAAGGAGUUCUGUCUCUACCAAGUUCCUUGCCCUUAAUGACUCAAGAAUUAAUUUUAUCUUUUCCUCUCAAAACCUUGAAAGAAAUGCUUGAGUCCUUGUAACCUGUAAAAUAAAUGUUGUUACUGAAGGGAAAAGCAA
rnacentral:lncRNA from 1 species